rnacentral:lncRNA from 1 species
GAUUACCCCGGAUGAAAAGACUCAGAGCUGUGGACUCGUAGCAGGAAGAGCCCUUAGAAACAGGGAACUGCUCUUUUUACAGUUAGGGAUACUGAAGACCAGAGAGGUGCUUGCUUGCCCAAAGUCGCGCAGCUUAGCUUGAAAGUAAAUUAUGGAAGAAUUCUGGUGGGCUUUGGGGUCAGACAGCGUUGAGUUCAAGUCCUGGAUCUAUCACUAUAUUCCUUGGUGUCAGCUUCAUUCCAAGAAUGAAUUCCAAGAGCAUUUGUGGCUCUUUCUGGGUCUCUGAAUCCCCAUCUCCAAAAUAAGGGGAUUGGAUUAGAUUGGAUUAGUCUGCUGCUCAUCUCCACGCCAAACUCCCUCCACCCUCACAAGCCUCAGCAGGUUAUCAAUUAUGAAUGGCCAGGCAAUCAGAGAUCAAAAGAGGCCUGUUUCCCCAAAUGAAUUAGUGGAUUUUAGAAUGGGAUGAAAUGAAAUGGAGCUAAUAGGCAGUUUUUGAAGAGAAGGCUGAGGGAUUUGGAGCUGGAGGUAGGAAGCUCAAAACUGUGGAGACUUCUUGCGUGGUUUCAGAGUUUUGGACAGCUUGUGCGCAAACCCGGAGGGCCACAGCAUGUGCUGGAAUGACCGGGAAGCUUACGCGUUGGGAAGGGUAGCUGGCCGAUGGCUGUGUGAAUGUGCCUUGCAGUCUAAAAGGCUGCUGGGAACCUAACAUCCAUGCUGGGACUGCAUUCUUUCUCUGCCUCAGCUCCUGUUAGCAAUCUCCAUGCUAUCCAAGUGGCCCGGACUUGUGAUUUCCAGAAGAGUGUAAUGCUGGAAGAUUCUCCUGACACAUCCCAGAAGGAAGCAUUAUUCUCACAGUGUUAUCUUUGCUGCUCUCUGGGUUUGCUCAUCCAGGGAGAUUGUGGCAGCCAUUGUGAUUAUUCUGUUUGUCUGUCUGUCUCUCUCUCAUGCACACACCCCCGCCCCCUCACAUUAGCUUCAUUUCCUAGUGUAACUAGAAGCCCGCACAGGCUCAGCUACAGAGACAGAAAAUCCUGUGGAAGCACGUUGGGCUCAUUAAUAAGGGAAAGUGACUGGUGACUAUAACUUCUAUAGCUUUUAUGAAUUACUAGAAGUGAAUUUUUGGGAAAUUACUAAAUAAUACAUGUUCAACAUAGAAAAAUUAGAAAAGAUAGAUAAGCAAAAAAAAAAAAAAGGGAAUUCACUCCGUGUAUAAGGAAUUUUGUUUUUAUUAAAUACUAGUUUUUUAAAUUGAAAAAAUAAUC